CAGAUUCAGUUUCAAAUUAUUUGUACACCAAAAACAAUAUAUUUCACAAAAAUAAAAAAAACGAAAAUUCUAAAUUAUUUAGUUUUUAGCCAUGAUUCGAAUUUCGAGCUGUUUGCCCGUUGUGCUGAAAAAAAUGUACAAUUCAAAGAUGCGUGAAAAAAAGCGAAAAGUCUAUCCAGCCAAUUCCGUAUAUAUUUUAGAGCGAAUUUUAAAAUUCCUUAAGGAGAAUCAAAUUUAUUCGCAAAGUUUUACCAACCAGAUCUUUGAUCAUAAUUGCAUUGAAUCUAAAUAGUAGUUGAAAUCCCGUUAUCAGAAACACCUAUGAUCUUUAUUGUGUUAAGAGUAUUUCGCGUUUCUUUUGGUUACUUGCAGUGUAUUUUUUGAUUUUCUUUUACUUUUACAUCUAAAUCGAAAUGUAUGUAUACAUGUAAAAGCAAUCGAAAAUAUUUAAAUACAGUCCAGUAAGGGGCACAUUGCAAGGAUUUGUUUAAAAGAUAUAUUUUUGUUUUAAACGUUUUCUCUCAUCACUUGUUAAGCACAACUGAGUGGCAGAGUUGCACAAACCGUAUCCAAAAAUAAACUAAGGUGAAUUAUUCGGAAGAUGCCUUAGAGUCGACGAACAAAACUCAAAAUGCCUGGCAUAUAACGUUGAGAGCGUCAGAGGUGCCACGUUCAUUGCGUUAUAUAUUUCGUAAAUGGAAAAUUAUAAUACCCUUGACAAGGCUAUAAAAACAAAGUCUUGUCCUCAUCCGCCCACGACAGUCCCCCGCAACACACAAGUGUUUCCAGCACAAUUCUAUGGCUGCUUUUUAACCAAAGGGAUGUUCUUUGUUCUGUAAUAGGCAAAGGCCUAUUCAUCUACAGGAUGAGCUUCAUAUACAAUGCAUGCUGAGUAGACAUACAUAUAUAAACAUUUUGCAAGCUAACUUUUCUUGUGGCUGUUGUAGCUCAUAAGCUUUUCAAAA
rnacentral:sRNA from 1 species